rnacentral:rRNA from 1 species
CCUACGGGAGGCAGCAGUGAGGAAUAUUGGUCAAUGGGCGUAAGCCUGAACCAGCCAAGUCGCGUAAGGGAUGAAGGUUCUAUGGAUCGUAAACCUCUUUUAUAAGGGAAUAAAGUGUGGGACGUGUCCUAUUUUGUAUGUACCUUAUGAAUAAGGAUCGGCUCACUCCGUGCCAGCAGCCGCGGUAAUACGGAGGAUCCGAGCGUUAUCCGGAUUUAUUGGGUUUAAAGGGUGCGUCGGCGGCCUUUUAAGUCAGCGGUGAAAGUCUGUGGCUCAACCAUAGAAUUGACGUUGAAACUGGGGGGCGUGAGUAGGUUUGAGGCAGGCGGAAGGCGGGGUGUAGCGGUGAAAUGCUUAGAUAUCACGCAGAACCCCGAUUGCGAAGGCAGCCUGCCAAGCCAUGACUGACGCUGAUGCACGAAAGCGUGGGGAUCAAACAGGAUUAGAUACCCCGGUAGUC